UACGUAGGUGGCAAGCGUUGUCCGGAUUUAUUGGGUUUAAAGGGUGCGUAGGCGGUUGUAUAAGUCAGUGCUGAAAUAUCCCGGCUUAACCGGGAGGGUGGCAUUGAUACUGUAUAACUUGAGUAAAGUUGAGGUUGGCGGAAUUGACGGUGUAGCGGUGAAAUGCUUAGAUAUCGUCAAGAACACCUAUUGCGAAGGCAGCUAACUAAGCUUUAACUGACGCUGAGGCACGAAAGUGUGGGGAUCAAACAGG
rnacentral:rRNA from 1 species